rnacentral:rRNA from 1 species
GACGAACGCUGGCGGCGUGCUUAACACAUGCAAGUCGAGCGGUAAGGCCCUUUCGGGGGUACACGAGCGGCGAACGGGUGAGUAACACGUGGGUGACCUGCCCUUAGCUCUGGGAUAAGCCUGGGAAACUGGGUCUAAUACCGGAUAUGACUCCAUGACGCAUGUUGUGGGGUGGAAAGCCUUGUGCGGCUAGGGAUGGGCCCGCGGCCUAUCAGCUUGUUGGUGGGGUGAUGGCCUACCAAGGCGACGACGGGUAGCCGGCCUGAGAGGGCGACCGGCCACACUGGGACUGAGACACGGCCCAGACUCCUACGGAGGCGA